GAGGGUACAGCUCAAGUGGUAGAGCGCGUGCUUAGCAUGCAUGAGGUCCUGGGUUCAAUCCCCAGUACCUCCU
rnacentral:tRNA from 1 species